AUGACAUCAGCCCCACGUCGCCCUUUCAACAAAAAGACUUUCCCCAUCAUUCAUCCACUUGCAUGGAUUCUGCUGCCUUCUACAAGCAAGAUGGUUUUCAGAGCUAUAGAGCCAGCUCACAUCAAUGGGAGCCUGGACUCCAUACCCAUAGAUCCAGCUAAUUACCUGGCAUGUCACGUGAUGUCACACAGACAUCUAGAACUCCAGAGGCUCAGAUUGUACCUCAUCAUCUCCCCACCAACGCUGGCCCCUUCAGGCCCUACAGGCCCUCUCUCUGUGAAAGCUCCCAGCCUCUACCUCCCUGCCAGCCCCAUGCCCACUGAUGGCAGGGUCACCCCACACUAUUCUCUGCCCUCUCUCAGCCUCUCAUUCACCACUCAGCCCUUCAGGUUUGAUCUCAGGGACCUCAUCCUCUGCUCCCCCUUUCCAGUAUUCCACCUGUCUUCUCGGGAAGAGCGCUUGGUCCCAGAGCAAUCUGUUAACUCUGAUACCACACCCCUCCGCUCGCUAUUCCGAGCCAGACCGACCCUCCAACACCCAAGUCUGAUAGAGCCACUCCUCGUGAAGCAUCUUCAGUCGCUCCAGCUGACCCGCAGGACACCGUGGAAACCCCUUGCCAUAAACAGACAGCUCCCUAUGGUAGGACCCUCGGUGAAACUCUCCUGACAUGAGGACUGGUACAGCCUUUAGGUGGCCUGCAGAUAUAGACAAAUGGUAUGCACAGAAAGAAGGUCAAGAAAAGGAAAGGAGAAAAUGAAGAAAUGAUCCCUCUCGUCUUGGGCUGGUGACAGAUAUCAACUGACCCCGCCCAGUUCACAAGUGUGAUGGUGCAACCAAUUCUGAGCUGAAAGAUUCUCAAGCCCUUUGAUAGGCAUUCCCAGUAAUGACUCAUGGAAGAGGUACGAAAAUAUCCAUCGCAACACUAACCAGAGUGGAGAGGGGGAUGGGGGUUAAUGCAUGAGAAAUGAGGAUGCCCAGCACCUUGUGGAGCAAAAUAAGAGGCAGGGUUGUGGGGCAACAAUUGGAAAUAAAAACCCUCAUGUCCAACA
rnacentral:lncRNA from 1 species